rnacentral:lncRNA from 1 species
CAGCAACGAAGCCCAGCACCUGCGGCCAAGAAGAUAGACACACCAACAAGAACAUCAUUAUUAAAUGCAUGGAAAAACUGGAGUUAUAUGACAGCAAUAUUCAAUAAAGGAACUAAAGGAGAAUAAAAGCAAACAUUUAAACUAGAUCAGAGAAGCAGCCCCCUGCACCUACAGUUCGCAAGGAAAACCCUCAUUCGGGAGGCUAAGAGUAUUCCAAGCUUGGGAGUCAGACUCUGACCCCUCGCAUUGAGCCUGGGGUGGAACAGACCAGGAACCUAAGGAUUGAACUGUGAGCUCAACAUGCUUCCCUGACCAUCCUCAGCGUGGCAACACUCCCUCCUUUAGUGCCUUAACAUCCACCAGCAAGAAGCUCUCACAUGGCAUCAGUUUAGGAUUCUGACCUGAAUAAACUGUCAAAUUCAUAAACCCUUUCUCCAGUCUGAAGCUGUAAGAGUGACCUUCACAGAUUUUCUUCACUUAUGCAUCAACCUAAUGGCAGAAGCUGGGGCAAAAUUAAUAGAGGGUUCAUUUGGCCUGAGGUUGAGGACAACUUCCCAGGAUACACUUCCAAUUGGCCUUGGGGAGUGCUCUGGAGAAUAAAGCAGAGGCUUGAGUUUUAAGAAAAAAGGACAAAUCACAAAGAACUUACAAAAGUUGUCCAGGAAUUCUCAUUGGUUCAUACAAAUAACAUUGGUUAGUGACUCAUUACAUUGUUGAACUAUUGGGUAAAAGUUCUACUUAGCAUUAAUUUAGAGCCCACAGAACAAGUGGCUUCAAGAGGUGAUUAGCUCAAGUGGAGAGUGAGAUAUGACUCCUGUUACAUUUUAAAUGCCUCUCUGGGCCUGAUUUAAAGGAACUUUAAUUUUUUUUUCUUUUUCAUUACAAACUACAGUCUGACUCCCGCAAUUCUAAUACCAAAAUGAAAACAUUGUCCAGGAAAUGGUCCCAGACACUGGAGGUAAAGCCUCAGAAAGGACAGAACUCAACAUGCUCUCUUGCUCCGUUCUCAGCCCCCACAACCACAUCUGCAUGCAGGUCUCCAGCUUUCCAGGUCUCUGUAGCUUCCAGAAUCCACACCCCUUAGCUGUUCCAAAUAGCUGGAGGCUACGUGCAGGGGAGGGCAGGCUGCCCAGGAAACACCAAGGGAAGCUCCUUCCCUAUAUUCACAGGCUCAAGGCUGGCCUCAGCUUGGAGUCACUGGCUUCAGUCUAUGCCACCCACUGCAGGCUCCUCGCCUGCUUCACACCAGCCCACUGAUACUUUAAAUGAGACAAACACUCUCAAUUUAAGUUUGAAUAAGAAAACAGAGUCCCUGCUUUCCUCAUGCACUAAACAGGUGUAUCUUGUUUAACUGCACUUUGUUUUAUUCUGCUUUGCAGAUAUUGCAUUUUUUUAACCAAUUUAAGGUUUAUGUCAACCGUGCAUAGAGCAAGUCUAUUUGGGCCAUUUUUUCUGAUAGUAUGUGUUCACUUUUUGUCAGUGUCUCAUUUUUGUAAUUCUCGUAGUAGCUCAAAUUUUUCAUUAUUAUUAUUAUUAUAUCUGUUAUGAUGAUCUGUGAUGAGUGAUCUUUUAUGUUAGUAUUGUAAUUGACAGAGCAGAAGCAUCACCAUCUUGGACAAGCCCUCAUUCUAAAGUUCACCUUACUCAAAAACCACCUAAAUCCAAAGGGCAUCAGCCUAAUGGUUAAGAUCAGCAUGACCAUAAACCACAUAUAACAUCUCCAGCCAGAAACAUUCCAAACUUGUCCCCAACCAGAGACAUGCUAGCCCCGAAAUAACCCCCCUCCAGCCAGAAAGAGGUCAGCCCCAAGAUAACCAACCUCCCCUCUGCCCAGAGACAUUCCACAAUGUUAUGUGACAUUCCAACCCCACCAUAAAUUCCUCCCCCACACAGAAACAAUCCAGGCUUGUGAUAAGCCCCUUCACCCUAAAACCAAUAUAUACUCUUAGUCUGUAAGAGAGAAUGUUCCUGACUAAAAUCGGCCCAGAUGCCCCUCUCAGGUUUAUUUUCUCUAAAAUAAAUCUGUCAUUAACUGUUAAGCUGCAUUUUGUGUUUCUUUCCUCGUUCUUUAACUCUUACAUUUGGUGCUGAAACCCGGGAUGGGUGUUAUGGGCAGAGGCUCUCUUGCAACCCAGGAAACAGUGGACAAUGGCAGCUUAUCCUGAGUUAACUCCUGGAUCCUGAGGGUCUUUGGCUACCUGCCCCAUC